rnacentral:rRNA from 1 species
GACAGAGGGUGCAAACGUUGCUCGGAAUUACUGGGCGUAAAGCGCGUGUAGGUGGAUUGGUGUGUCAGAUGUGAAAUCCCUGGGCUCAACCCAGGAACUGCACCUGAAACUACCAGUCUUGAGUGGUGGAGAGGGAAGUGGAAUUCCUGGUGUAGAGGUGAAAUUCGUAGAUAUCGGGAGGAACACCAGUGGCGAAGGCGGCGAUCUGGGUCGAUACUGACGCUGAGGUGCGAAAGCGUGGGGAGCAAACAGG